rnacentral:snRNA from 1 species
GUGCUCACUUCAGCAACACAUGUGCUAAAAUUGGAAUACAGAAAAGGUUAGCAUGGCCUCUACAUAGCGAUGACACGCAAAUUCGUGAAGAGUUCCAUUAAAAA